ensembl:lncRNA
UGGGCGUCUCGUCACAGGUCUGUCAGCUGAAGCUGUCUGGAAAUCUCCCCCGUGUAGUGAAACGGGCCUUGGAUUUAACGUUCUCCGUCUCUGCUGCAUGAGAUCGCUUUCCUGUAGCACUGUUGACAUUUUUAGAUUGUUGUUAUGGGUCCAGCUGCUGCAGCAUUUGGUCAGGGUCAGAGAUGGUAGAGGGGAGAGCAGGAGUCCAGCUGCUGCAGCAUUUGGUCAGGGUCAGAGAUGGUAGAGGGGAGAGCAGGAGUCCAGGUCAGCUUCGGCUUUCAGGGCCGGCAAAGCAGCCUGUAAUCAAGCAUAGAGAGGGAAAAACAAAAAACAAAACAAAAACAGACGAACAGGAAGAUGAUGUUGUAUUUUCUGAACACAUUAAUACUCAAAGACGAACGUUUCCCAAGGUACAAGCGUGUAGGGCACUUAUAGCGUGUACAUAAACUUAUUCACUGUUUUAAUACUGCCGAAGCACUUCUCACAGCGUUCACGGAGAAAAAACGUCAAAGAUAGGUUAAUGAUCAGAGCGCUCCCUCGCUCCCAUUUCCGCACGUACAAUACAAAGAUCGCUUGUGAUAACGAUGUCUCACUCUGAGCAAAUUUCAAACCCACACAUUUUAACUGUUUUUAGCAUGAAUCACAUAAUAUUUCUUAACUUUGAACUUAUUUAUCACCUUGCUUACGUAACUUAAUCAGAUUAUGCACUAACUACUGACUUUUGACCAAAAGGCAUAACAACUUGUUAAUGCUUGUUUGCCGUGUUCUGCACAGCGGAAAUAAAAGUAAUAUUUGAAAAUCAUUACUCACUUAUUCUCUUUCUCUUUCUGUGGUGUUUGUUUCUCAUGAGCUCCCAUUUUCUUUCUUAGCAGGAUUCAUGCCAGCUUUCUUCUCUGUAGAAACAAAGUAGAAGUUACAAACAAAACUUCAUCGACUUCCAAGCUGCACAAAAAAAUG